rfam:Alligator mississippiensis ScZkoYb_11, whole genome shotgun sequence.
GCUCCUUUUGUAAGCUUUGGCAGCACCUGCAUAUUGGUGCCACACAGAGAAGAUUAGCCUGGCCCCUGAGAAAGGAUGAGACCAAAUUUUCUGGGGAGAGAUUUUUUU